rnacentral:rRNA from 1 species
AUGGAAGCAUGCCAUGCUAAAGUUGACGAUUUGUUUGUUUAUCCUUCUUUUCAUCUUGCCCUAUGUGCUCAUGCUACGAGUGCAUCAAGAUGAUUUAGUUACGAUCGAGUGCUUGACCCCUUGAGUAGGGCAUAUUCUUCAUCAUCUUUGUUGUCGUAUUGUAUCCCAAUGACCACGUCAUCAAAGAAACAGUCUUUCUUUGGUUUAGUCACCAAUUUACCGUCGUUGGCCUGGUUAUACUUGCCACAAGCCUUGCUUUGUACCUUCCAAUCUUUCCUUCUACAUUCUGUUUCACAGUGUAUACCCACUUGCAGUUGA